rnacentral:misc_RNA from 1 species
AAAGUCGUAACAAGGUCUCCGUUGGUGAACCAGCGGAGGGAUCAUUGCUGGAACGCGCUUCGGCGCACCCAGAAACCCUUUGUGAACUUAUACCCAAACUGUUGCCUCGGCGCAGGCCGGCCUCUUUCGUUAGGGGCCCCCUGGAGACAGGGAGCAGCCCGCCGGCGGCCAACCAAACUCUGUUUCUAUAUUGAAUCUCUGAGUAAAAAACAUAAAUGAAUCAAAACUUUCAACAACGGAUCUCUUGGUUCUG